UGUGAACUCGAAGAGUAGGGCGGGACACGUGGUAUCCUGUCUGAAUAUGGGGGGACCAUCCUCCAAGGCUAAAUACUCCUGACUGACCGAUAGUGAACCAGUACCGUGAGGGAAAGGCGAAAAGAACCCCGGCGAGGGGAGUGAAAAAGAACCUGAAACCGUGUACGUACAAGCAGUGGGAGCACCUUCGGGUGUGACUGCGUACCUUUUGUAUAAUGGGUCAGCGACUUAUAUUCUGUAGCAAGGUUAACCGUAUAGGGGAGCCGCAGGGAAACCGAGUCUUAACUGGGCGUUAAGUUGCAGGGUAUAGACCCGAAACCCGGUGAUCUAGCCAUGGGCAGGUUGAAGGUUGGGUAACACUAACUGGAGGACCGAACCGACUAAUGUUGAAAAAUUAGCGGAUGACUUGUGGCUGGGGGUGAAAGGCCAAUCAAACCGGGAGAUAGCUGGUUCUCCCCGAAAGCUAUUUAGGUAGCGCCUCGUGAAUUCAUCUUCGGGGGUAGAGCACUGUUUCGGCUAGGGGGUCAUCCCGACUUACCAAC
rnacentral:rRNA from 1 species